AAUGCUUACACAUGCAAGUCGAGCGGCAGCGCGGGGGCAACCCUGGCGGCGAGCGGCGAACGGUGAGUAAUAUAUCGGAACGUACCCCGUCUGGGGGAUAACACAGCGAAAGCUGUGCUAAUACCGCAUACGACCUGAGGGUGAAAGCGGGGGGAUCGCAAGACCUCGCGCGAUGGGAGCGGCCGAUAUCGGAUUAGCUUGUUGGUGAGGUAAAGGCUCACCAAGGCGACGAUCCGUAGCUGGUCUGAGAGGACGACCAGCCACACUGGAACUGAGACACGGUCCAGACUCCUACGGGAGGCAGCAGUGGGGAAUUUUGGACAAUGGGGGCAACCCUGAUCCAGCCAUUCCGCGUGAGUGAAGAAGGCCUUCGGGUUGUAAAGCUCUUUCAGCAGGAACGAAACGGUGGCCACUAAUACUGGCUACUAAUGACGGUACCUGAAGAAGAAGCACCGGCUAACUACGUG
rnacentral:rRNA from 1 species